rnacentral:rRNA from 1 species
UACGGGGGGAGCAAGCGUUGUUCGGAAUCACUGGGCGUAAAGGGAGUCUAGGCGGUUUGGUAAGUGGGAUGUGAAAUCCCCGGGCUCACCCCGGGACCUGCAUCCCAAACUGCUGAGCUUGAGUACAGGAGAGGGUGGGGGAAUUCCAGGUGUAGCGGUGAAAUGCGUAGAUAUCUGGAGGAACACCGGUGGCGCUGGCGCCCGCCUUGCCUGCUACUUACGCUGAAGCUCGAAAGCUAGGGGAGCAAACGGG